CUCCAGUUAGCCUAGUGGUUAAGGCUAAUGGAUCGCCAAUCCGGAGACGGCGGGUUCGAUUCCCGUUCUGGUCG
rnacentral:tRNA from 1 species